CAAACUCUUCAUCCAUUUCCUAAUAUAUUCGUAUAGGGCUCAGUGUCACAUACACUUUGCCUUUCAUCACUUCAUAUAAACCCUAAUUUCCCUUAAUUUUCCCCUAUAUUUUACCAUUUUUACGCGUUCUGCUUCUUAAUUCCCUUUCGGUAACUAAUUCACUUCACAUAAACUAAUUACGUCACCGCCACGACUGUUGCGUCCUCCGACCACCGCUACAUCGACUUCCCACUGCCAUAGCUUCCUCUGUUUUGCAAUGCCUCAAAUCAGGAUCGUCGCCUCUUCGAGGCGCUGAAGUGGUUGAACCGCGUCAACGUGUGAUCAAGACCUCAGUGCUGUAGAAUUGUCGAGCUACGCCAACACACUGAUGAGUCGAACUUUGACUAGAGCUUCUUGUGGUUAUGCUUUUGUUGAAUAUGAAAUUGAAAGGGAGAUGCGACGAGCGUAUAUGGAUGCUCAUCAUUCUUUUAUUGAUGAUUGUGAAAUCAUAAUGGAUUACAAUCGACAGCAGUUGAUGCCUGGAUGGAUUCCUAGAAGGUUAGGUGGUGGUCUUAGUGGGAAGAAGGAAUCAGGACAACUUCUUUUGGGGGGAAGAGAAAAAUCAUUUCGUGCACCACUGCUGUACAAGGGGGAAUAUGUGUUUGCAAAAGCUUAAAUGGGACCAAUCCCACCAAUUGAGAUAAGUCUUGGUUGUUGUUAUUUUUUAUUAUUAUUACUAUUUUUCAAUGGAAAUUUAAUGUAUAGCAAUUCAAUAUAAUUUUUGAAAUAGCAGAGGAGGUGAGUGUAAUUUAGCCAAAUCUCACGGUUCAGUAUAAUUUUCUCAAUUAUUUACUAAUGUAAAUAAAGGGACGAACCGGAGCAGUGGUAAAACUGUUCUUUCUUGUGAAGCUCUAUGUAUAAAUUAUUUUUGUAUUAUAACAAGGGUUUCAAAACUAAAUUGCUUUCUAAUUGUAUUGUUUAAUCAAAAUAUGAAAUGCAGGAGGAUAAGCGACUUGAAUGGAACUGAUUCUACUUUUCCUAGAGUUGAUAAUAUGAAAGGACUGCAAACAUUGUAUCUCUCAGUGGUCACUUAUUUGAUAAGUUUCUGAUAAAUGAGGCCUUAGAUAUUAUUGAAGCUGCAGGAGGCUCCUUCCAGUUGGUCAACUGCAAUGUGGGUCAGAGUACUAAUGCUAUAUCAUACUCUGAUUGAAGUAAGUAGUCCUCUAUUUCAACUGGAAUGUUUGCUUAUGCCCCUCAAGAAUGAUUCUAUCUCUUUAUUUUGAAGUGCAAUACUGAAUAAUUCCAUCUUGUAUCUGUAAGUCAACUGUAAGAUAUAGCUACAAAAAUUUUAUAUUUGGUCUUUUCAUCAAUGAUCUGU